rnacentral:rRNA from 1 species
AGGUAGCUUUGCUACUGGACCUAGCGGCGGACGGGUGAGUAAUGCUUAGGAAUCUGCCUAUUAGUGGGGGACAACAUCUCGAAAGGGAUGCUAAUACCGCAUACGUCCUACGGGAGAAAGCAGGGGAUCUUCGGACCUUGCGCUAAUAGAUGAGCCUAAGUCGGAUUAGCUAGUUGGUGGGGUAAAGGCCUACCAAGGCGACGAUCUGUAGCGGGUCUGAGAGGAUGAUCCGCCACACUGGGACUGAGACACGGCCCAGACUCCUACGGGAGGCAGCAGUGGGGAAUAUUGGACAAUGGGCGCAAGCCUGAUCCAGCCAUGCCGCGUGUGUGAAGAAGGCCUUAUGGUUGUAAAGCACUUUAAGCGAGGAGGAGGCUACUUUAGAUAAUACCUAGAGAUAGUGGACGUUACUCGCAGAAUAAGCACCGGCUAACUCUGUGCCAGCAGCCGCGGUAAUACAGAGGGUGCAAGCGUUAAUCGGAUUUACUGGGCGUAAAGCGCGCGUAGGCGGCUAAUUAAGUCAAAUGUGAAAUCCCCGAGCUUAACUUGGGAAUUGCAUUCGAUACUGGUUAGCUAGAGUGUGGGAGAGGAUGGUAGAAUUCCAGGUGUAGCGGUGAAAUGCGUAGAGAUCUGGAGGAAUACCGAUGGCGAAGGCAGCCAUCUGGCCUAACACUGACGCUGAGGUGCGAAAGCAUGGGGAGCAAACAGGAUUAGAUACCCUGGUAGUCCAUGCCGUAAACGAUGUCUACUAGCCGUUGGGGCCUUUGAGGCUUUAGUGGCGCAGCUAACGCGAUAAGUAGACCGCCUGGGGAGUACGGUCGCAAGACUAAAACUCAAAUGAAUUGACGGGGGCCCGCACAAGCGGUGGAGCAUGUGGUUUAAUUCGAUGCAACGCGAAGAACCUUACCUGGCCUUGACAUAGUAAGAACUUUCCAGAGAUGGAUUGGUGCCUUCGGGAACUUACAUACAGGUGCUGCAUGGCUGUCGUCAGCUCGUGUCGUGAGAUGUUGGGUUAAGUCCCGCAACGAGCGCAACCCUUUUCCUUAUUUGCCAGCGAGUAAUGUCGGGAACUUUAAGGAUACUGCCAGUGACAAACUGGAGGAAGGNGGGGACGACGUCAAGUCAUCA